UCGCCCAUUAAAGCGGUACGCGAGCUGGGUUCAGAACGUUGUGAAACAGUUCGAGAUUGAGCUGUUGUCUCUCACACAAUCGUUCGACGCGAGCCUGUAAUUAGUUGAGAGCUCGGCAACCCAAGGCCGAGAACAAAUCUGGCUAAAUGCUGGGAACUCCGUGGAUCCUCCGCUACUGCAAUCAGCAGUGAAAAUGCGCGAGGUGCGGACAAUCAGCAGGAAAGACCGAUCUCACGAUCGGAAUCCUCACAGGCCAUACGCCGGACUCGACUUAGUCGAGAAGAUAUGGUCGGAUCCCUGCGGCGACGCAGGGCACCAGCGGGAACAAGAAACCAGCUGGUCUAGUAACAAGACGUCGGUCUCUAUCCAGUGUGCGCGCAGGUGAGUUGAGAGGAGUUGCCCCCAGUACGAGAGGACCGGGGUGAGCGGACCGAUGGUGUACGAGUUGUCCUGCCAAGGGCACCGCUCGGUAGCUAUGUCCGUUCCGGAUAACCGCUGAAAGCAUCUAAGUGGGAAGCCGACCUCGAGAUGAGCUCACCCUCUGGGUAACCAGGUAAGACCGCACGUAGAUUACGUGUUUGAUAGGCGGCGGGUGGAAGGAUCGCAAGGUCUGGAGCUGAGCCGUACUAACGGUCGAGGGCUUGACCUAAUUU
rnacentral:rRNA from 1 species